rnacentral:snoRNA from 1 species
ACUUCAUGGUUCGGGCAUUGCAUGAGUUUGUUAUUGAACCUUUUCCAUGCCUCAUAUAAGGGCUCACCACUAAGUUGACAAAAAAUUAUGAUUUUGUCUCUUAUAU